UGGCUAGCGGCGGUUGAGGCGAAGGCGCUGCUUCGGGCCUCGCAGUCGGACGCCGGAGGUGCUAAGAGCAACAACCGACGGCUGCUCCACGUCGGCGACAUUGACAAAACAAGCAAGUCCUACAUUUGCACAUCGUGCUUCAUGUGGCUGGGUGCAGAGGAUAGGGUGGAGUCCGCCGUGAUGGAGAUGAAGGAUGGCUGCUACUGCGCAACGUCGAGCCCAUCUCUAUACCACGCUGCUACAUACUUCCAUGAUUCCAUCAUUGACUACAGCUCACCACCCGGUUGCCCUCUCUACUACCAAUUACAAGAGACAGAUCAACCUCUUUAUCCUUAUUGCAAGGUCUAG
rnacentral:lncRNA from 1 species